rnacentral:rRNA from 1 species
UAGGGAAUCUUCGGCAAUGGGGGCAACCCUGACCGAGCAACGCCGCGUGAGUGAAGAAGGUUUUCGGAUCGUAAAGCUCUGUUGUAAGAGAAGAACGUGUGUGAGAGUGGAAAGUUCACACAGUGACGGUAACUUACCAGAAAGGGACGGCUAACUACGUGCCAGCAGCCGCGGUAAUACGUAGGUCCCGAGCGUUGACCGGAUUUAUUGGGCGUAAAGCGAGCGCAGGCGGUUUAAUAAGUCUGAAGUUAAAGGCAGUGGCUUAACCAUUGUUCGCUUUGGAAACUGUUAAACUUGAGUGCAGAAGGGGAGAGUGGAAUUCCAUGUGUAGCGGUGAAAUGCGUAGAUAUAUGGAGGAACACCGGUGGCGAAAGCGGCUCUCUGGUCUGUAACUGACGCUGAGGCUCGAAAGCGUGGGGAGCAAACAGG